rnacentral:lncRNA from 1 species
UGAGCCCUGCCGCUGGAUCCUGGGCUCAAACUGGCUGAGCAAUAGGCACGCCUGGUUAGCCAUCCUGGCGUAUUAAAAAGCUUCCUAAUAGGAAUGUCUCCUGGGGCUGACUAUAGUUCAGAUGGACCCAUGGCUGCAACACUCCCUUUGUUUGUCCUUUUUAUCUCCCCAAAUAUUUGUCAAGCCUGGACGAGUCCAUGGAGUUUGGAUGGCGUGCUCCCAAGAGCUGCCACCUGCUGGGGUCAGGUGCAGUCACCACGGCACUCUGUGGCCGGGCUACCCCUUCCACUCACCUCCUCAGACUCCACAGGAACAUGCCACUCUCUUCUGCGUUCCUCCUGAAAGCCUGUCUACUCCUGCAGCGCUUCUGAGCCUACCGUGCUCCGUCAACUGGUCUCUGCUCAGCAAGGCGGGGCUGGAGAGUCGCAGUUCCAGACUGAUGGAGCAGGAGCCCAGGGGCUCUGGAACUAAAGGGACACCAGGAUAGAAGAAGCAGGACUCAUUUUUUCAGCAAGGAACAGAAGGUAUGGGUGAUGUAGUUAUAAAACAGCCUCCAAAUGAAUGGUCAAGUCUCGGC